CACCUUGACGUCAAUUUGACAUCAACAAAUAGUCAAGAUUUUGACCACCAUGUAUAACGUGCAUGAAUAUGCAUAUUUUCAUUAUAUUUUGUAAUUAUUUCCUUGUGGUUGUAAAGAGGCCCAACAAAGGUAUCGAUCUGACAUGUUUUUUCUGGUCCCUAUAUCUCAGGUCAAUAUCAUUGACAUUAAAUCGAUGUUGAUUUGAUGUCAGGAAAUAAGAUGUCAAAUUGAUGUUAAAUUUAUGUCAAAACAAUGUCUGUAAAAGUAUAUUUAUUACUCAUUGUAAAUCAAUGAGACUCAUUUUUAACAUCUUGAAAGUUGUAGGUCUAUGUAUUUUGCAUGUGUUUUUUUUAUUUAUUUAAAUCCUAGCAUGUUUACAAGUAGUUCACAUUUAAAAUGACACUAUAAUUGCAUAUACUAUAAAAGGUCAAUUUAAUCUGAUAUCGAAGCUUGAUAUUGAAUGAUCCAAGCAGUCAUAUGACCGACCUUCAACGUUGAAAUUUGGUUGAAAAAGCUUAGUUGUUUGUUCAACGUUGACACAACGUUGAAACAACAGUGAAUGGUAAACAGUUGCAAAGGGUCAAUAAAAUAAAUGUUUAAUGACAUUGUAAUUUGUGAAUCAUUCAGUAAAAAGCUGUAAAAACUCGUUUUAUGAAACUGAUAAAAAUACUAUUUAAAAAUUUACCAAAAGUAAUUGGGAGAGUUAAAAAUGUAAUAGACACAUGCAAAUAAACUAUUAUUAUUGUUGUUUUAUUGUUAUUAUAUUUUCAUCACAGUGUCUUAAAUAUAACAUGUUAAAUAUAAAUUUUAAGAAUACCAUUAAUAAUAAAAUACAUCAAGACUUUUAUCGGUUUAAUUCAUACAAGUCAGUUUGGAAUGUUUGAUCCUGACUAAAAAAGUAGCGAGGUAAUCUCGCGAGAUUACAGCCUCCCCAUAUAGAGAUUACACGAGACUGGAGAGUUUAACGGCUGUCUGCGUGAUCAUCGAGAAAGUGCAUUGAGGCGCCACAGACACCUCUGUCAGUCAUUUGUAAAGAGGAGCAGCACGGCAGCUGGAUGAGUGCGAGCCCUUCAAAUUAAAAAUAGUGAUGGUGAUCUUGUCAAUGCUGAGAUUUUAAUGCAUCAACAGCCAUUACAUCUGUCUGGAUCAGGAUUGAACAAGAAUCAGACAGCAAGGGUUGUCACAUCAGAAACGUAAUAACACAAACAUAAGAAACUUCACAGGGCUGUGACAGUGACAGUAUUUUACCACCGCGAUGGUAAUGCACCAAUUCACCACUGUGGUGCGGUGGUUAUAGAAUGUGUUUGUGUGAGGGGGGAGGCGGCAAUUUCUUUUUCCGCCGGUGGGUGCUCAUCACAACCUCAAGCUUUACUUCGCAAUGCCAGGUGCUCUAGAGUCUGGAGCGCUCAAAGGCUUUGAAGAGGUGGAAAGUGGCGCAGUCACGUUUUCGUGUGAAUUGUGAAGUUAAAGGCAGAUCACCGUGCAACUUGGUGAAGUCAUGUGUCUUUCCAGAUGGCCAAAUCUGUACCCCUCAAAAAAACUUUAUUAAAUGCCAUGAUAGACAAGAUGAGCCUUAAGAGGAGAUUUGGGAAGAUGCUGUUUCAUAAGUCUUUGCUUUGCCAGAUUAUUUGUGGUUGGGGUGUCUGCCAACGUGAUGCCUUGCUGGUCUGGUUUGAGUUUGAAGUCUCUCACAGACAGUCCAGAAGGUCUGGAGUCCAUCUUAGCUUUAAUUGAUGCUGUCAUCAUUUUUUAAGUGCAUGAGCCAGAAUGGACGGGUGGUGGUGGCCAUUAGAAGACUGUCAACUAAACUAGGGUGACCAUACGUGCCAUUCUUCCCGGACCCGUCCUGUCCAGUCUUUUGGAACUCGUAUUUGUCGACCGCAUACGUCACAGAGGAUUAUUAUUAUUAUUACAGAAAAGCAACCGUUACAUUUUAAGGUAAGAAUGAAACUACGAUUGUAUAUCUUAUGUUUUUAACUGAAUGGCGUAUGCGGUCAACAAAUACGACUUCCGGAAGACGCACCGAAAUCCUGGACGGGAUGCGUCCGGGAAGAAUGGCACGUAUGGUCACCCUAACUAAACCAACAACAAAAUUCAUAUUUGCAGUUAUAAAUAAAAUGACUUUUAAACCUGAUUUUGUUUUCUUAUUUUAUGAUUUCAUUCUAUAUUUGGAAUAUUCCAUUUUUGCACUACUAACUGGAAACUGUUUGAAAGAAUGUGUUUUUAUUAAAAGACAAAUUUCAAAGGUGAAUCAUAUGCCGGCUGGGAUAUCAAAAUAGCAUUAAAAUGACAUCAACAUCAUAACAUCCUGAUAUCA